rnacentral:rRNA from 1 species
UACGUAGGGGGCUAGCGUUGUCCGGAAUCAUUGGGCGUAAAGAGCGUGUAGGCGGCCCGGUAAGUCCGCUGUGAAAGUCGGGGGCUCAACCCUCGAAUGCCGGUGGAUACUGUCGGGCUAGAGUGCGGAAGAGGCGAGUGGAAUUCCUGGUGUAGCGGUGAAAUGCGCAGAUAUCAGGAGGAACACCGAUUGCGAAGGCAGCUCGCUGGGACGUAACUGACGCUGAGACGCGAAAGCGUGGGGAGCAAACGGG